AAUUGUCCUAGGAACAGUGACAGCCAGGAUACACAGCAAGCUCGAGUAAGAGGAAUAACCUGAUUUUCUCCAGACCUUUCUAAGAGCAGCAUUUGGAUAAUUGGCACAGGGGGCUAGGCCUGGCUUAUGCAAACGAAUGUGUGAUGCUCCAGUGUACCAAUCACUUGUCAGACUCACUUUCUGUUGUCAGCUAUCUUCAGCAUUCAUUUCGGCAAGAGCAUCUUGAUUUUAUGAAAAACUAAAAUAAACGUAAAACAUUAAGAUAAAAACAUCCAAAGGUAUACGUAUUGGGAUUGACAUCUGAAAUGAGAAAACCUGAAGUGGAAAAACAGAGAGGGGUGAAAACUGGAGGGCUGAAGAAGUCAAUACAGAAGGAGGAGGAGAUAGGGAUAAAUGGCAUCAAGAUUGUUUGAGAAGGAUUCAAGUAAUCAUAUUAAAUAUCUACUAAAAACU
rnacentral:lncRNA from 1 species